GGGCAUCUCUGCUCACUAGGCUGUGGUCUGAGCCGAUGCCUCAUUGCAGCCUCAUAGCUUUCAGUUCUGCAGAGGAGGCCAGCAGAAUUGUAGGGCAAGCAGACAGCCCACGGCCACUUGGUAAGAAAACACUGGUCUGCUUCAAGGUCUGCUAAAGCAGACAGGCAGGGCCUCCGUGACAAGAGAAGGGAAGCGUGUGCCUGGCUUUGUGCCCCUUCUGUUGGGAAGCCUUGUGGGCUGAGCAGAGAAGUAGUGGUAGAUGGAUGACCAAUGGGUGACAAGAACAGUCCCCGAAGCUCUGUGGAAAGUGACUCACAACAGCCAUGAAGAGGGGACAAUGAGGCACAGCCUUGGCUCCCGGGGUGUCUGCAGCCCGUGAGGCUGUGAACAUGAGGUAUGGGUGGUGAUUUGCGGCUACUGCUGCCUGACAGGCCCCCACUGUAUGUACUGUGCGAUGGUCAGCAAACCACUGGACCUCUCUGCGAUUCUUUCCUUAUCUGUGAGACUGGGGAAAUGGGCAUAGCUGCUUGGAAAGGCUAUUGUGAGGACAACUGUGUCAGACAGUGGCAGGACACAGUAAGCACUUACUGUGUGUUGGCCAUGUUCCACUCUGAGAUCAUCUUCUGGCAGGUGGGUGGAGCUAAGGAAAGAUUCUGCAGGGAUCUGCCUCCCCAUUCUGGGCCUGGAGUCCUCCUCAGCAGACCGAAGAUUUGCCAGUAGUUCCUGAUGAUCCCUCCAGCCUAAUACCCAGAGGGCCAGAACCAAGACCCCAGAACAGAAGAGGAAAGCAAAGGGCAAACCCCCAGUGUGCCCAGAGGGACCACGAGGGCAGCUACUGUCAAUCUUUCCCACGCUCCAGCCGGAGGAUAUUGUUCACUGCACAGGUGAGGACCAUCACUUCUUUUGGAUGUUUGAGAGAACAGAAGAGCCUACAAUAGAGUUUGAGCCCCUAAUCCUAGCAGGUCAGGAGCAUGGAGAGUUCAAGGCCAAGUGUCUUGGCUAGGUCUUUUUGUCAACUUGACACAAGCUAGAGUCUCCCAGGAAGAAGGAUGUUCAAUUGAGAAAAUGUCUAAACAGACUGACCUGUAGAACUGAGAUGAAGGGAAGCAAUCCUUCGAGGCCUCGCAGCCACUGAGUGGCGGAGGCUUGAACGUUGGUGUCACAGAUGUCAAAGCAUCAUCUCCUAUUCCUCACCAGACGGAAGAGCCAGUGGUCCCCAUCUCGCAGAUGCCACACAUAGUUCUGGAACUGCCAGGUGGUGGACAGUGACAAUGCAUUGAAGAGUAGCCCCUGGGAACUGGUAGCCAUGAGGUGGGGACCCUAUGUCUGGUCCUCUGCCCUUUCCCUUGCUCCCCUCCUGGAAGGAGUCUCUGGCCAAGCCCCAGGCCACACUUAAGGCUGAGGCCAAAGGAGCGUCCCAGUUUGUGGAGCUGACAGUUGCUUUGGGCAAGCCGCAAGCAAACAGCUGUGACUUCAGUCCCCAAAGCUCCCCCCUUUACUCCGUACCUGUGUCAACAUUUUUAUUUUUUUUAAAGCAAUACAGCCAAGGUGGGGGCUGGGAGAGGGCAAUGGGGAGGGAGGGAACCAGGGCCUUUAUCAGCUCUGGGGUCCUUGCAUAUGUAACACUGUCGUAUAAUUAACAGUGAAGAUCAUUUACAUUGUCGCUUAGCUAAUUUUCAUAAUGUUUUCUUUAUUAUCAGAGGAAGAAAUUAACCCAAGAAUUUAUUUACAUAGCAGCCUCAAACAGUAACAGCUUGCUAAUUGCCUGUUAGGUGAUUAAUAAGCUUACAGCAGAUGCUAAUGCAUCGUGGGCUCCCGUUUCAAAGGUGCUCUUCCUGCACGCCUGUGUUUUUGGCAGCUUAAUUAGUGCAAUAAUUAUGUACUUGUUGCUCCUUCUUUCGAGCAAAUACUGUCAAAUGCUUAAAAGAUUAAAGUGAAUUAUAUCCUGAGAAC